UAAAAUUAUUACAAUAAAUGGGAAUCACAAGGAUCCCGGUAUAAAGGAAAACAAACCCAACAAAAUAGUAUCAAAUAUGAAUAUUCCAAAAAAAUGUAUGACAGGAAGAAACACAAACGUCACGGGUACAAGUAUUUACCAGAAGGAAAGCACAGGUGCGUUGAAUCCAAUCCUCAUAAUUUGUUCUUCCCACUUAACCUAUACCAUCUCACUUCUCAUUAAUUCAUACAAAUCAAACGAGCCAUCCCAAACUUGAGUAAACCAGUCACUACUGACCCCAGAGAACAAAAGUCCUCUACGACUUGUAAGGCCACUUAUUAUUCUAAAAAACUCCUUAUGCCGGAAAGGGAAAGAAACUAGCGAAGGAGCCCUUUAUCUAAACAGGAGCAACAACCAUCCAACAUGUCCUAAAGAGCCAUCAGAGGCUCGACCAAACACCAACGUCGUGAGAGGGAGCCAGCAAGGACAAAGAAACCACGAGAACCGCUGAUGUGGCAAAUUAACUAGCUGACGUGGCCAGUUAACCUGCCACGUUGGAUGAAAAAAAGAAAAAGAAAAAGCAGCAGCAGCAACAGAAGAAAAAGAAGAAGAAAAAGAAAAAGAAGCAGUAGCAACAGAAGAAGAAGAGACUGUUGAAGAGAAACUUCUUCUUCUUCUUCACUCAACUUCAACAAUAUUUUCUUUUUCGUCUUAUUGUGAGCAACAAAGCCAUGGGGAAUUGCUUAGUUGUUGAAGAGAAAGUUAUAAGAAUUAUGGAGCCUGAUGGCAAAAUCCUUGAAUAUCAAGCCCCCGUCAAAGUUGAACAAGUGUUAUCAAACUUCUCCGGUCAUGCACUGUCGGAUUCAUUUUCAGGCUUCCACCAUCUUCAACCUGAUGCAAAGCUGAUUUCAGGGCAGUUGUAGUACCUUAUACCUCUUCCAUCACCAUCCAAAAAGGGUAAGAAAAAGAAAGCGAGGUUUUCAAAUCCAGAAGUGAAUGAUGACCAAGUAAGGAGUCCCAAUGUUGUCAGAAUUAAGUUGAUAAUUAGUAAGCAAGAACUGCAAGAGCUGCUUCAAAAUGGAGGAGUUUCAGCUCAGGACAUUGCAUCUCACAACAUACAAAGUAAACAAACCACAAAUGGAAUCAUCGCACCUGAUGUUGAUGAUGAUAGCUGCAGAGGGUCGAAGCCUGUAUUACAAACCAUAGCUGAAGUAAACUAGUAACGCAGCAUAUCAUGUAGUAUAAAAUAUUGGUAGCUAGGAUUAUCUUACACAAAGAGUAGAAAUAAUUAAGUAUACCAAAACAAUAUUGCUUGUCACCACAAGAUACGAUGAUGUCUCCUUAAUGAAAAUGAAUUAGUAGAUAAA